rnacentral:misc_RNA from 1 species
GAAAUGCGAUAAUUAAUGUGAAUUGCAGAAUUCAGUGAAUCAUCGAGUCUUUGAACGCACAUUGCGCCCCCUGGUAUUCCGGGGGGCAUGCCUGUUCGAGCGUCAUUGCUGCCCUCAAGCACGGCUUGUGUGUUGGGCUUCCGUCCCUGGCAACGGGGACGGGCCCAAAAGGCAGUGGCGGCACCAUGUCUGGUCCUCGAGCGUAUGGGGCUUUGUCACCCGCUCCCGUAGGUCCAGCUGGCAGCUAGCCUCGCAACCAAUCUUUUUAACCAGGUUGACCUCGGAUCAGGUAGGGAUACCCGCUGAACUUAAGC